rnacentral:rRNA from 1 species
UACGUAGGGUGCAAGCGUUGUCCGGAAUUAUUGGGCGUAAAGAGCUCGUAGGCGGUUUGUUGCGUCGGCUGUGAAAUCCCGAGGCUCAACCUCGGGUCUGCAGUCGAUACGAGCAAACUAGAGUGUUGCAGGGGAGACUGGAAUUCCUGGUGUAGCGGUGAAAUGCGCAGAUAUCUGGAGGAACACCGGUGGCGAAGGCGGCAUCCUGGACCGAUACUGACGCUGAUGAGCGAAAGCCAGGGGAGCAAACGGG